ACUUCAUGGUUGAAGCAUUGCAAAAUCUUUUCAUUAAAUCUCUCCCAUACUUUAUAUAGAGGCUCCCUAUUAAGUUGAAGAAAAUUUGUAAUUUCGUCUCGCAAUU